AUUGAACGCUGGCGGCAGGCCUAACACAUGCAAGUCGAACGGUAACAGGAAGCAGCUUGCUGCUUUGCUGACGAGUGGCGGACGGGUGAGUAAUGUCUGGGAAACUGCCCGAUGGAGGGGGAUAACUACUGGAAACGGUAGCUAAUACCGCAUAACGUCGCAAGACCAAAGAGGGGGACCUUAGGGCCUCUUGCCAUCGGAUGUGCCCAGAUGGGAUUAGCUAGUAGGUGGGGUAACGGCUCACCUAGGCGACGAUCCCUAGCUGGUCUGAGAGGAUGACCAGCCACACUGGAACUGAGACACGGUCCAGACUCCUACGGGAGGCAGCAGUGGGGAAUAUUGCACAAUGGGCGCAAGCCUGAUGCAGCCAUGCCGGGUGUAUGAAGAAGGCCUUCGGGUUGUAAAGUACUUUCAGCGGGGAGGAAGGGAGUAAAGUUAAUACCUGUGCUCAUUGACGUUACCCGCAGAAGAAGCACCGGCUAACUCCGUG
rnacentral:rRNA from 1 species